UUUUUUUUUGGAAAACAUCAGAGAAAGUCUGCGUGGAAACACUUUGGAUCUGCGGACAUUUUGGACUCGUUCAAUGAGAACCAGGGUAAUCCUGGCUUGUCUUUAAAAGCAUGGAAUCGGUCGGAUACCUGUUUCCACUUAUUAUUUUGAGCCUCAUUAACCCGUCAGAGCAAGGCUUGUUUGACUACUUCAAACUGGAGGAUUGG